rnacentral:lncRNA from 1 species
UAAACUAAAUUUUUUUGGUGUUACAUAUAAUGCAGUAGUAGCAGCAGUAGCAAAAGUAGCAACAGCAGCAACAGCAGUAGCAAUAACAAUAUUACCAGUAGUAAUAGUAACAACGGUAAUAACAGUAGUAGAAAUAAUGGCAGUAGUAGGAAUAACAGCAGUGGCAGCUAUAGCUGUAUUAGCAAUAAUAGUAGUAACAGUGGUAGUAGUAGUAGUAGCAGUAGUAGAAAUAAUAAAAGUAGUAG